AAAGUCCGCUUAAAGCGUUCAGUGCGUAUCAUUGGAAUAUUGAAGACUCGCUUCUUUGUAAUGUCGUAGUUUUCCUCUUGCAAAGGAGGUAGAAGAUUGUGUAACUUAUGAGAUUCCGAACUCUUGAUGGACGAGAAUAACUUGGCGCAUAACUUCAUACGUCUAUCUUUUAAAGUAGUUAAAUGAAACUUCUGCAGGUUAUGUUCAUAUGACUGGUUCGGGGAAAUGAUAGCCAGCGCUCUCUUUUGGACGUUUUACAAGUCAUCACACAAAUAUUUCGGGAGGGAAUGGUAGAAAACCUGCGAGCAGUAUUGCAACAGAGGACUAAUACAUGUCAGGGCCUUUUUUAAGGAUUUCCCGUGGGGGGGGGGGCAUUUUUUUAAAAGGGACCUUUCACUGAGAUAAUAUAUUAGAGGGGGAUAGCAAUGGCUGAAGGCCACGUGUAUGGCCAAUAUACCACGCAUGAAUGUGGGGGGUCUGGGGGUGUACUCCCCCAGAAAAUUUUUGAAAUUUGAAUCCCGGAAAUGUCAUUUCCUGCAUUCUGAGCAUCCAAAUUUGCUCCAAAAUUUAUCCUAACUAUACUUGUAUUUGAAAUAAAGGAAAAACGCACAAAAAGUAAAAAAAAAAUUAACCAUCAUUUAUCAUUACUUAUUGGAGGAGGAUAGCAAUGGUCACGUGUGUGGGGGUAUACUGCCCAGAAAAUGUUUGAAAUUUGAAACACGGAAAUGCCAUUUCCUGCAUUCUGAGCAUCCAAAUUUGCCCUAAAAUUUAUACUAACUAUACUUGUAUUUGAAAUAAAAGAAGGAAAAAAUGCACAAAAAGUCAGAAGAAUAUUAACCGUAAUUUAUCAUUACUUAUUGGAGGGAUAAUCCCCAAAUAAUUUUUGAAAUUUGAAACCCGGAAAUGCUAUUUCUUGCAUUCUGAGCAUCCAAAAAAUAAAAAUAUUAUUAACAAUAAUUUAUCAUUACUUAGUGGUGGAGAAACGUAACAAUUUAAAUCGAUUUUGUUAAACAAGGACAAAGGAUAAAGCCUAAAACUUACUUUCCGCUUAUCUAUUUGUUAAUCUUCGCUGGUUUGUUUGUAUAAUUUUAGGAAAAAGGGACUUCCUGG